rnacentral:miRNA from 14 species
GGAACUGAAGUGUGUGCGUGCGUGUGUGUGUGUGUGUGUGUGUGUGUGUGGGCGCGUGCGCUCACAUGCAAGGACAGAUAGGUUACCACU